rnacentral:rRNA from 1 species
AGGUCCAUUCUGUAGCAAUACAGAGGAAGACCUAGUGGCGAACGGGUGAGGAACACGUGAGGAACCUGCCCCGAACUUUGGGAUAACAGUUGGAAACGACUGCUAAUACCGAAUGCCGUUACGAAGUGGCAUCACUUUGUAACGAAAGAAUUCGGUUCGGGAGGGCCUCGCGGCCUAUCAGCUAGUUGGUGGGGUAAUGGCCUACCAAGGCAUCGACGGGUAGCUGGUCUGAGAGGAUGAUCAGCCACACUGGGACUGAGACACGGCCCAGACUCC